GGUGGCUCAGUGGUAGAGUGCUUGCCUUGCAUGCACAAGGCUCUGGGUUCGAUUCCCAGCACCA
rnacentral:tRNA from 1 species